rnacentral:misc_RNA from 1 species
GUGAAUCAUCGAAUUUUUGAACGCAAAUUGCACUCUCUUCGGAGAGUAUGCCUGUUUGAGGGUCAGUCUAAAUAAAUAGAUAUCGUUUCUGUUUCGCGGCGGCGUUAGUCGGUAAUUGAGUCAUUUAAAAUCCUCUUGAUUUAAGCGUCUAAAAAUUUUCUUUUGGUUCCAUGAACGUUUCUAAGAUCUAUUUCUUUACACGUUUAAGGUAUCGAUUUUUACUAGACGUGACCAUCAUAU